AGAAAAGUGUGGACCUGAAAAAGGACACCGCGGCGAAAAGAAGUUUUGUGCAGCCAAUGAAACCGCGGUGGAUUUGGGACGAACUGCGGGCGGUUCAGGAAAACCACAGAGAUGUUUGUUACCUUUUAGCAGUAACUGACCCAGUGCAUUCACCUGCAGUUACUGAGAGUUACUGAGUAGAAUGGCUGCGUCGGGCACAGGAGACUGGCUUUCAAAGUGCUGCUUCAAGGAAUACUCCAUAACACACACCUGGAUAUGAGGUUAUAGAUGUGGACAAUCUCAAGGACACGGCGCUGAGUUUCACAUGUCAAGUGGCCUUUGGACAUGAGGUGGAUGCGUUACAAGAUGUCUUCUACUUGUGUUAUAACAACAAUUGCCCACUUCAAGUUAGGAGGAAAACCCUGAAUUCUCUGGCAAGCAGAGGAAGGACCAUCAGUCCAGAGAUGGUACCACCCACAGUGACCUGGGUCCUUCCACAUCCAUCACCAGUCAUGAAAAUGUCCUAUUUCCUUUGUGUGACAAAAAACAAACAGCAUAUUCUGGUACAGAACAGGACUAAUACCAGAGAGGAUGACAGAACCCCAGAAAAACCAAUCAUAGGGGGUGAUGCAUAAUUCUCAGGAGUCAGAUAGGAGGAACAAUCACGAUAAGCCUCCAGGCUGUCGUGGCAGCCAGAGAAUGCACACAGAGCCACAACAGCAUUCUUAGGAAACAGCAUCGCAGAGAAGAAAAGUUGGGUGCAAACGAGCGUUCUAUCCAGGGUGGCCCAGGUACUUCCCUUGCAGUAGCCAGGCACGGAACAUGGAACCCAAGGAAAGAUGAGGACUCUAAGAAGAGCCUCCCAUUUCCAGAGCGGGUGCUGGUGAGAAUGACUUCUGCAGCUCAUCCCUCAGUGAUGAACUGGUACCUGGAAGUGUAGGAGAAACACACUCUUCUCCCCAGGGUGCAUUUCGGUCGUGGUGUUUUAUCACAGCAGCAAACAUCCUAACUAAGACACUGGAUAUUUCAUCAUAAUUGACAUAUUUUUGUCACUGAUACAAGCACAAAAUGGCUUGAUCACCUGGAUAAAAGCCUCAGCUUUGAGAAAACCUUCUCCCCCUAAAACACUCCCUAAUAAAAGUCCUGAAUUAAUUGAUGAAUGAACUGUGACACAUCCAGACUGUGCAGGGCUAAAAACAUACAAGCUAUCGAGCCAUGGAAAGACACGAAGGAAACUUAAAUAUUGCUAAGUGAAAGAAGCCAAUCUGAAAAGGCUACAUGCUUCAUGAUUCCAAAGGUAGAACCUUCUGCAAAAGGCAAACUGAUGGGAGAGCGAAAAGACCAAUGAUUUCCAGGAGUUAAGAGGGGAGAAGGGAAGCAGUGAACAGGCAGAGCACAGAGGACUUUGAGGACAGUGGGACUACAGUAUUCUCUAUGAUGUUAUCAUGGCCCAUACUUGUCUGUAUGUACUUGUCCAAACCCAUAGCACAUACAUCAAGAGCAAGUCCUAAGGGAAACUCUGGACUUCGGGUAGUAAUGAUGUACGAAUGAAUUCAUUAAGUAUAACUAAUACAAAUUAGGGUGUGUGUGUGUGUGUGUGUGUGUGUGUGUGUGAGUAUGUGUGUGUGAGUAUGUGUGUGUGAGUGUGUGUGUGAGUGUGUGUGAGUGUGAGUGUGUGUGAGUGUGUGUGUGAGUGUGAGUGUAUGUGUGUGAGUGUGUGUAUGUGCGCGUGAGGUGCGCAUAUAUAUAUGUAUAUAUAUAUAGAUAUAUAUAUGCCUCUGUGUGAGGUUCAAACCCAGGACUUGUCUUAGGCCCUCUCUUAGAACAUAUCACAAUGUGCUUUGUCUUUGCCCACGCACCCUAAAAUACAUAUCCUUGAUGUUACUAAGAUGCACGCCCAGAUGUGCAUACUAGAUGAAGAAUGUUCCCCAAAUUCAACCUGGAACCUAUGAAUCUUACCUUAUUUGUAAACAGGGUCUUUCCAGUUGAAACCGUAUCAAGACAAGGUUCUAAUGGAUUAAAUGGUCCCUACGUCCAAUAUGACUAGUGUCUUUAUAAGAAGAUUUGUACCUAGACCAUGUUCAAGAUGCUAUAUGAAAAGAGGAACAGUUGUAAUGACGUAUCUCCAAAACAAAGAACGGAAGGAUUGUCAGACAUCACUAAACCCAGGGAAAGCGGGAGAGAAAGGGGAGCUGAGCUGGCAGAAUAAACAACCUUGACCUUGGUUCUAGACCUCCAGCCUCCAGUACUGUGAGAGAACGGUUUUCUGCUGUUUUGAGUCACUCAGUUUGCAGUGACUUGUUGUGACAUCACAGAAAUUUAAUAUGGCACUUUUGUUUCCCUGGUGUGGUGGUUUUGAAUGAAAAUGUACCCCCUAGGCUCAUAGGGAGUGGUGCUAUUAGGAGGUGUGGCUUUAUUGGAGUAGGUGUGGCCUUGUUAGAGGAAGUAGUCUCUAGGGAUGGGCUUUGAGAUUUCAGAUGCUCAUGCUAGACCCAGUAUCUUUCUGUCUUCCGGCUGCCUGAUUAUCGGGAUGUAGAACUCUCAGCUACCAAGUCUGCCUGGAUGCUGCCAUGCCUCCCGUCAAGAUGCUAAUGGACUAAACAUCUGAACUGGAAGCCAGCCCCAAUUAAAUGCUUUCCUUUAUAAGAGUUGCCAAUGUCAUGGUGUCUCUUCGCAGCAAUGGAAAUCCCGACUAAGAUACCUGGGUACCCUCAGCUCACAAGGUCUUCGUGCCUGAAUGUCACUUGCUUCCUAGUACAAGCAGGCAAUAGUGGUCACUAGAAUUAGAACCUAUUUCGUUGGGGUUCCAAAAUGACUGAAGACCAACAGCUCUCUUGGAGUUUCCCAGGACUCCAGGACCAGAUUGGGACAGCUGAGACAUCCAAUCUCAUGGACUGAACAGCUCUGAAUUCUCAGCCUUUCUGUCAGAAGACAGCCAUUGAGCAUAUCCAUCUAAGCAGUCCUGUUCCUUGGAGAACUCUCAUUAAUACAGGUGGCAAACACUAUUGUCACCCAGCACUUGGCAUAUUGGGGCAGAGACAAGCAGAUACCUGGGACCAUCCAGUCCAGCCAAAGUAGUUCUUGCUUCAGAGGGGUCCCAUCUCAAAUAAGAUAGAGAGUGAUAGAAGAAAAUUGGGGGGAAAUUACAGAUAUGAAGAACAAAAUAGUAGGGACAUUAAAGAGAAUUCAGCCAGAGAAGGUGAAGAUAGAUUUACAAUAUCUGAUUUCAAUUCGUGUCUCAGCUUCUUAGGAAUGUGUUACUUAAGACCAUCCAUGCAUGGCCUAUUUUAAGACCUGUUUGAUGAUAUAUUUAUACGGAAAUGAUUUCAGUUGGCAACUAAAAUGCAUUUUUUUAUUCAAAUACUGUUCGUUAUCUUUGCACAGUUGAGUAAUAUUUUUAAGUAACUUCAUGCAGUUGCCCAUCGGUAUAUGUGAGAGAUUAGUUCUAUA